GACGAACGCUGGCGGCGUGCUUAACACAUGCAAGUCGAACGGAAAGGCCCUUCGGGGUACUCGAGUGGCGAACGGGGGAGUAACACGUGGGUGAUCUGCCCUGCACUUUGGGAUAAGCCUGGGAAACUGGGUCUAAUACCGGAGAGAACCACGGCAUUCAUGUGCUGUGGUGGAAAGCGUUUGCGGUGUGGGAUGGGCGCGCGGCCUAUCAGCUUGGUGGUGGGGUAAUGGCGUCCCAAGGCGACGACGGGCAGCCGUCCUGAGAGGGUGACCGGCCACACUGGGACUGAGAUACGGCCCAGACUACAACGGGAGGCAGCAGUGGGGAAUAUUGCACAAUGGGAGCAAGGCUGAUGCAGUGACGCCGCGUGAGGGAUGACGGCCUUCGGGUUGUAAUCCUCAUUCGCCAUGGACGAGGCGCAAGUGACGGUACCUGGAGAAGAAGGACCGGCCAACUCCGUG
rnacentral:rRNA from 1 species